GACGAACGCUGGCGGCGUGCUUAACACAUGCAAGUCGAACGGUGAAGCGCCUUCCUUUUUGGUGGGUGUGGAUGAGUGGCGAACGGGUGAGUAACACGUGAGUAACCUGCCCCAUUCUUCUGGAUAACCGCAUGAAAGUGUGGCUAAUACGGGAUAUUCUGGGUCUGUCGCAUGAUGGGUCUGGGAAAGAUAUUGUUUCGGUGGGGGAUGGGCUCGCGGCCUAUCAGCUUGUUGGUGGGGUGAUGGCCUACCAAGGCGGUGACGGGUAGCCGGCCUGAGAGGGUGGACGGUCACACUGGGACUGAGACACGGCCCAGACUCCUACGGGAGGCAGCAGUGGGGAAUAUUGCACAAUGGGCGCAAGCCUGAUGCAGCGACGCCGCGGGAGGGAUGGAGGCCUUCGGGUUGUGAACCUCUUUCGCCAGUGAAGCAGGCCUGCCUCGUUUGUGGGUGGGUUGACGGUAGCUGGAGAAGAAGCGCCGGCUAACUACGUG
rnacentral:rRNA from 1 species